AGAGCGAACGCUGGCGGCAGGCUUAACACAUGCAAGUCGAGCGCCCCGCAAGGGGAGCGGCAGACGGGAGAGUAACACGUGGGAACGUACCUUUCGGUUCGGAACAACCCAGGGAAACUUGGGCUAAUACCGGAUACGUCCGUAAGGAGAAAGAUUUAUCGCCGAAAGAUCGGCCCGCGUCUGAUUAGCUAGUUGGUGAGGUAACGGCUCACCAAGGCGACGAUCAGUAGCUGGUCUGAGAGGAUGAUCAGCCUCACUGGGACUGAGACACGGCCCAGACUCCUACGGGAGGCAGCAGUGGGGAAUUUUGCGCAAUGGGGGAAACCCUGACGCAGCAACGCCGCGUGGAGGAUGAAGUCCUUGGGACGUAAACUCCUUUCGAUCGGGACGAUAAUGACGGUACCGAGAGAAGAAGCCCGGCUAACUUCGUGCCAGCAGCCGC
rnacentral:rRNA from 1 species